rnacentral:rRNA from 1 species
UGGGGAAUAUUGCACAAUGGGCGCAAGCCUGAUGCAGCCAUGCCGCGUGUAUGAAGAAGGCCUUCGGGUUGUAAAGUACUUUCAGCAGUGAGGAAGGUUUAUGCGUUAAUAGCGUAUAGAUUUGACGUUAGCUGCAGAAGAAGCACCGGCUAACUCCGUGCCAGCAGCCGCGGUAAUACGGAGGGUGCGAGCGUUAAUCGGAAUUACUGGGCGUAAAGCGCAUGCAGGUGGAUGAUUAAGUCAGAUGUGAAAGCCCGGGGCUCAACCUCGGAAUAGCAUUUGAAACUGGUCAUCUAGAGUACUGUAGAGGGGGGUAGAAUUUCAGGUGUAGCGGUGAAAUGCGUAGAGAUCUGAAGGAAUACCGGUGGCGAAGGCGGCCCCCUGGACAGAUACUGACACUCAGAUGCGAAAGCGUGGGGAGCAAACAGG